rnacentral:lncRNA from 1 species
GCACUCAUGCUUCCAGCAGUAGCAUGGCAGGGUGCAUGUGCACAUGUAUGCUGACAAGGAAGGAUAGGCAAGGUCCACUUGCUUACACACACACCAGCAAAGCGGAGGUGCCAACUGCACAGCCACAUGAAAAUAUUGCUGCUGAUGAGAUGCAGCUGAAUGAGUCAUGGAGAGGAGAUAUUCUGUACCAGUGAGAAGCAAAUUCCUUCUGAAACUAACUCUGAGACAGGCAUCAGAAAACACGUAAAGUCAACACAAUCAAGAAAUGAUUUUGAAGGCUACAGUUUUUCCUGUCUUUCAAAAGGUUGUCAAAUGUAUACAAAUUACUUUGAGAAAUGAAAGAUAGUCUCUUGAAAAUAAUUUCUGAAGUUAUUUUUGCUACAUUUGUAUUAAAGAAAAUGUUUAAAGACAGGAUCAAGAAAUUAAAGACAGUUUCAAGAAAAAUUAGAACAUACUAUAUUAACCAAAGCCUAAAAUAAGACUGGUGUCCUGUAGGGAGCAGCCAUUGGUGAAUUAUACAGGUACCAUAUUGUACCUUUGCUUUUUUUUAAUGCCUUGUAUGUGUGAUUUGGUGAUAUUAUCU